rnacentral:lncRNA from 1 species
GCUACAGCUCUGAUUUGAUCUCUAGCCUGGGAACUUCCAUAUGCUGCACCUUCGGCCCUAAAAAAAAAAAAUACAACCAUAAAGUUAUUACAAAAUAAUGGCACAUUUCCCUGUGCUGUCUAAUAAAACUCUGUUACUUAUUUAUUUUGUACCUAGUAGUUUGUGUGUCUUAAUCCCAUACCUCUGUCUUACCCUUCCUGCCUCCCCUCUCCCCAGUGGUAACCACUGGUUUGUUCUCUAGUGGUUAUGAGUCUCUUUCUGUCAAAAACUCAUCCUUUAAUUGACAGAUAUAAUUUAGAAAAUUUUGUGAUAUAAUGCAAAUGGUUUUUUAAGCCAGCUGAAUUUUCUCGUAUUAGUUACUUAAAAAUAAUGGUGAAGGAGUUCCCAUCGUGGCUCAGCCAUUAACGAACCCGACUAGUAUCCAUGGAGAUUCGGGUUCUAUCCCUGGCCUCACUUAGUGGGUUAAGGAUCUGGCGUUGCCAUGAACUGUGGUGUAGGUCGCAGACACAGCUUGGACCUGGCAUUGCUAUGACUGUGGUAUAGCUGCAGCUAUAGCUCCGGUUGGACCCCUAGCUUGGGAACCUCUAUAUGCCGUGAGUGCAGCCCUAAAAAGACCAGAAAAAUUUUUUUGAAAUAAUGGUGAAGAUUUAAUUUAUAUAACAUGUAUGUGUUAGAGCCUUGUAGCAACUUGGCUGCUACUAAAAGGGCACAUCAGCUGCAAAGGGAUAGAAUUGGCCAAGUCAAUAUAUAUGCAGAUAAGGAUUGGGGGCUCUUUCUUAGAGUCACGGGCCCCUUCAAUCCCAACUGGUCACACACUGUUGCAUACCAUGUUCCUUGGGCAUGUGGAACAAACUACUCUGGUAGCUCCAUGGGUUGGUUUCUUGUCCAUGGUGAGCAGUGGUGCAUCUGAGUUCUGUCUUCUGAAAUAGGAGCCCUGGAGAUGGAUCACCCUCAUGGAAAUAUAGAGCAGUGGGUACCUGAUACCGUUUGUUAUGCUGGCCACCUGUGUAGACCACGGGGCAUGCCACCAAGUCCCAUACUGCUUUGGCCCUCCUUUUAGGAAGCCCUGGAAUAGAUGCUUUCAACUCCCCAACCUCAAUCCAGCAUUGAGAGAUGAAAGGAUAAUUAUUUUGAGAUAUUGCUGUAAUCCGUCCAAUGGGGGAGGAUUUCUGAGUUAGGGAAUUUCCAAAUAUCAGGUAAAGCAUCGUUUAUUCCUGACACAUGACAAUUGGAAAAAGGAGAUUCUGUGAUCAAGUAAAUUUGGAAAAUGCUUCAUUAAAAUUAAUACUUUUCUUGGGAGUUCCUGCUGUGGUGGUGCAGUGGGCUAAGAAUUUGACUAGAGGCUCAGGUCGGGUUCAGUCCCCAGCCUGGCGCAGUAGGUUAAAAGAUCUGGUGUCACAGCUGCGCCUCAGAUUCAGGCCUUGACCGGGGACCUUGCAUAUGCUGCAGGUGUGACCAUUAAAAAUAAUAAUAAAUAAAUUUUAAAAAAUUAACACAUUUCUGGGAGUUCCCAUCGUGGCACAGUGGUUAACAAAUCCGACUAGGAACCAUGAGGUUGCGGGUUCAAUCCCUGGCCUUGCUCAGUGGGUUAAGGAUCCCUCGUUGCCACGAGCUGUGGUGUAUGCCACAGACGUGGCUCAGAUCCCGCAUUGCUGUGGCUGUGGUAUAGGCCGGCGGCUACAGCUCCAAUUCAACCCCUAGCCUGGGAACCUCCAUAUGCCA